rnacentral:tRNA from 2 species
GGGGAUAUAGCUCAGUUGGGAGAGCAGAUGCUUUGCAAGUAUCCGGUCGGCGGUUCGAGCCCGCCUAUCUCCACCA